CAUAUAGAUUUAAUACCAGCACUUCUAUAUCAUGUUAGGUAUGACAACCUAUCUUAAGUGAUGUUAAGUAAUUAUGACGCCGUUGCUAGGGAUAGGUUUAGAAGUCUUUUUUUAGUAGUUGUGUUAAGAAGUGUCAACGGACCCUAAGGAACUAGUCUUGCAGUUAGAGUCAAAUUAUGUGCUCUCCAUCCAUUGAUCUUAGCUACUUCUAUCCUCAGAAGUACGCAACGACUUACAUCCACCACAUUCACCAUGUGCUACUUCUAUUCCUGGAAGUACCACCCACAUAUACGUACUACACUCUAUGCUAUUUCUAUCCUAGAAACACACACUUAUGCUGCUCCUACUCUGAGAGUACGCAUUCAUUCACCUAUCCACAUUCCACAUCCACUUAGAAUAUGUUCUACUCCUGCACUAGGAGAAGACAGCCAAAAAUUGUCAUUGUCAUUAUGUCUUAUUUUACUUAUCCAACAAAGCUCCAGUUAUUUCAGUUAUACUCCCUAUUGCUAUCAGUGUUUUGAAAGGGAUUGGCUGAUGUAAAAAAAGAGAAAAGAGAGAAAAAGAAAGAAAGAGGACAAAAGUCCCAUUGCAAAAGAAAAGAAAGACAGCCAAGUCCUUGUUUUUAGAUUAGGGAGGUAUGUUAUCCCCAAGGAGCAAUUGUAGAAUUAGAUAUUCACCCUCAUAACCACUUUUAUUCUUAUCAUUCAUUGCACUCACAUGCACAUAUGACUUGAUUGUAUAAUUAGUUUCUCUAGAUCCAUGUUUAACUAUGCAAUACAUGCAAGUAGGAUUGAAUUGUGUUUCCCACCUAUGAGCUCCACAGAAGCUAAUUAGAAAUAGGAUGAGAAAGAGAAAGCAACUAUGUCUUAGUGAUACAAAUACCACAUAUUCUCAGAGCAGAGAGAAGGCACACUCACUUGCCUUAGAGAGGAUCCAAAAAUACCACAUAUGAGAGAUUAGAAAGUGUCAUACAAGGAAACUCUGAGUUUUAUUUAAAAAUAUUGCAAAACUCAAGAAUAAUAGUUGAUCAAAGAACGAGUAGCAUAAUGCUCGACUUAAUUGUUCUGUCUUUCAACUACCCAAGACCUAAGUGAUAGCUAUAAGCCCCAUGAUGAAAGGUAAAAUGGGUGAGUCUUGAGUCAGAAUAGUUCACUGUAAUCUAGAUGGGAGUCUUUGUUUGAAUGCUUGUGUACUUGUGAGGUGUGAAAGUAUUAUAGCAUCCCCU
rnacentral:lncRNA from 1 species